rnacentral:rRNA from 1 species
UACGUAGGGGGCUAGCGUUGUCCGGAAUCAUUGGGCGUAAAGAGCGUGUAGGCGGUCCGGUAAGUCCGCUGUGAAAGUCGGGGGCUCAACCCUCGAAUGCCGGUGGAUACUGUCGGGCUAGAGUACGGAAGAGGCGAGUGGAAUUCCUGGUGUAGCGGUGAAAUGCGCAGAUAUCAGGAGGAACACCUAUUGCGAAGGCAGCUCGCUGGGACGUAACUGACGCUGAGGAGCGAAAGUGUGGGGAGCGAACAGG